CGCAAGCCUGACGGAGCAACGCCGCGUGAGGGAGGAAGGCCUGUGGGUUGUAAACCUCUUUUCUCAGGGAAGAAGCUCUGACGGUACCUGAGGAAUCAGCAUCGGCUAACUCCGUGCCAGCAGCCGCGGUAAGACGGAGGAUGCAAGCGUUAUCCGGAAUUAUUGGGCGUAAAGCGUCCGCAGGGGGCACAUCAAGUCUGCUGUUAAAGGCUGGAGCUAAACUCCGGUAGAGCAGUGGAAACUGGUGCGCUAGAGGGCGACAGGGGUAGAGGGAAUUCCCAGUGUAGCGGUGAAAUGCGUAGAGAUUGGGAAGAACACCGGUGGCGAAAGCGCUCUACUGGGUCGCACCUGACCCUCAGGGACGAAAGCUAAGGUAGCG
rnacentral:rRNA from 1 species